CUGGUGAAAGAAAGGGGGCGUGGGCAUCCACGUCCCAGAGGAGGGAAACGGGGGAAGGGGAAACGCGCAUCAACAUGCAGGACAAAGAUCUGCGUUUCUCUGCCUGCUACAGCCUCGGCUGCGUUGGGUUGUUAGUGUCCCUUUCACCUCUACCAUAUGAAAUGUGUUACUGCGAAGUUUUUACUGAUGGGGAGUGAAAACCACACAUUGACAGGGGCAGUGUGGAAGAUCUAAAGGGUUUUAUGGAAUGAAAAUUUACAGAGACCUUACUAAGACAUUAAAGUCCGAUAUUCUUUAGAGUGAAAAGCUGUAUGAUCAAGUACCUUUAAUACUGAAAAGGCUCUUCAAUUGCACCCUUUUACUUGUAUAGAUAUAUCCUGGAGGGUUCCUUUUUGUAUCAACCACUUUCAGCUAUUCUUCAAAUUGUUAAAGCUUUUCUUGAGGAAUAAACUCAACAUUAGUAUUAGUAGUAUGUAUUCACAUCAUGCAAAUUUAGAACGAGUGGUCACAUAAGCUUUUUGCUUAAAGGAGUCAUAUCAUGCUUUUCAUUCUAAAAAAUAUUUGACUUUAAUGUCUCAGUAAGGUCUCUGUAAAUUUUCAUCCCAUAAAACCCUUUAGAUCGUCCACACUGCCCCUGUCAAUAUGUGGUUCUCACUCCCCAUCAGCAAACGCUGUGUUUUCUGGGCGUGUCGCAAGCGAAGCUGCUCACCGCACCUCUGUGCGGAAGUGCAUACCUUUUUUGUUGUUGUUUUUUUUUUUUUAAAUUGGCUCCAUGGAUACGAGCCACCGCACGGUUAGGAUACAAUAGGUGGCAGUAGUGCGACAUUGAGAAUGCAAUCCACCACAGAAGAAGACGACCCACUACAGAACUGCACGACAUUAGUCAGCUGGUUCAUAGCGUAGUAGAACCAUACGUCUACGAUCCCGAAUCUGACCCUGAAGCUGAAGAGGAGGCUGUUGAAGUCACCACAUUUCGGCUGAUGCAAGAUGUGUCUCAUUGUUGUUACAGGUAUCUAGUCUACAGAGGCUAGUGAGCUGGUGCUGAGGAUUCCUGGGGUGAAGAAUCUGAGUUGCCAUCUCUUCAUGCUUGGGUUGUAGAUGAAGGCAGUUUCCUGAUGGAUAAAACACUAAAACACUCAUAGUAUGAUUGAUGUAGACCACCUGUAGAAUAACUCCUUUACCGUUUGAGUAAAAAUGUGUUUUUUGUGAGUGCAACACUCAUUAAGAAUUUUUUUAACUUUAUUUAUAUAUAAUUUAUAUGCGUUUUAUUUAUGGCCGCUUCAACUUUAUAGCUUACCAUAUUAGAAAGAGAAAAACAUGUAAUUUCAAUACUAUGAUUUCCUAAAUAAAAGUGUUUUCCCUUCAGAAA